UACGUAGGUGACAAGCGUUGUCCGGAUUUACUGGGCGUAAAGAGCGCGCAGGCGGUCGUUCAAGUCGAGUGUGAAAGCCCCGGCUCAACUGGGGAGGGUCACUCGAUACUGAUCGACUCGAAGGCAGGAGAGGGAAGUGGAAUUCCCGGUGUAGUGGUGAAAUGCGUAGAUAUCGGGAGGAACACCAGUGGCGGAAGGCGACUUCCUGGCCUGUUCUUGACGCU
rnacentral:rRNA from 1 species